rnacentral:rRNA from 1 species
GAAAUGCGAUAAGUAAUGUGAAUUGCAGAAUUCAGUGAAUCAUCGAAUCUUUGAACGCACAUUGCGCCCUCUGGUAUUCCGGGGGGCAUGCCUGUUCGAGCGUCAUUAUAACCACUCAAGCUCUCGCUUGGUAUUGGGGUUCGCGGUUUCGCGGCCC